CCGGCAUCGCGGCGGGACCCGGAGCCCGGAGUUCGGGGGAGGAGAGAGGAGGACGCGAAUCACACCCGCUGCUGCGCGCCAGCCCGCCCCGUCUGUACAAUGGGAUGCUCGGGACUCGGACGGGAGGAUCCAGUGACUGCGAGCCCCGCAUUCGCCCGAUCCCAGCCUCACACCCCCAGCCAGCCCCCAGAGACCCUCCCACACUUACGAAGGAAAUGCAUGCGGCCAGGAGGAGAAUCCGCACCAGGAGCAGGGAGCUCUACCCAGGAAAAAGAAGAAAA
rnacentral:lncRNA from 1 species